CCCAGACUCCUACGGGAGGCAGCAGUGGGGAAUAUUGCACAAUGGGGGAAACCCUGAUGCAGCGACGCCGCGUGAGUGAAGAAGUAUUUCGGUAUGUAAAGCUCUCUCAGCAGGGAAGAAAAUGACGGUACCUGACUAAGAAGCCCCGGCUAACUACGUGCCAGCAGCCGCGGUAAUACGUAGGGGGCAAGCGUUAUCCGGAUUUACUGGGUGUAAAGGGAGCGUAGACGGUGCAGCAAGUCUGAUGUGAAAGGUCGGGGCCCAACCCCGGGACUGCAUUGGAAACUGUAUAACUGGAGUGCAGGAGAGGUAAGUGGAAUUCCUAGUGUAGCGGUGAAAUGCGUAGAUAUUAGGAGGAACACCAGUGGCGAAGGCGGCUUACUGGACUGUAACUGACGUUGAGGCUCGAAAGCGUGGGGAGCAAACAGGAUUAGAUACCCAGUA
rnacentral:rRNA from 1 species